rnacentral:rRNA from 1 species
GAUGAACGCUGGCGGCGUGCCUAAUACAUGCAAGUCGAGCGAACAGAUGAGGAGCUUGCUCCUCUGACGUUAGCGGCGGACGGGUGAGUAACACGUGGAUAACCUACCUAUAAGACUGGGAUAACUUCGGGAAACCGGAGCUAAUACCGGAUAAUAUAUUGAACCGCAUGGUUCAAUAGUGAAAGACGGUUUUGCUGUCACUUAUAGAUGGAUCCGCGCCGCAUUAGCUAGUUGGUAAGGUAACGGCUUACCAAGGCAACGAUGCGUAGCCGACCUGAGAGGGUGAUCGGCCACACUGGAACUGAGACACGGUCCAGACUCCUACGGGAGGCAGCAGUAGGGAAUCUUCCGCAAUGGGCGAAAGCCUGACAGAGCAGCGCCGCGUGAGUGAUGAAGGUCUUCGGAUCGUAAAACUCUGUUAUUAGGGAAGAACAAAUGUGUAAGUAACUAUGCACGUCUUGACGGUACCUAAUCAGAAAGCCACGGCUAACUACGUG